GACGAACGCUGGCGGCGUGCCUAAUACAUGCAAGUCGUACGCUUCUUUUUCCACCGGAGCUUGCUCCACCGGAAAAAGAAGAGUGGCGAACGGGUGAGUAACACGUGGGUAACCUGCCCAUCAGAAGGGGAUAACACUUGGAAACAGGUGCUAAUACCGUAUAACAAUCGAAACCGCAUGGUUUUGAUUUGAAAGGCGCUUUCGGGUGUCGCUGAUGGAUGGACCCGCGGUGCAUUAGCUAGUUGGUGAGGUAACGGCUCACCAAGGCCACGAUGCAUAGCCGACCUGAGAGGGUGAUCGGCCACAUUGGGACUGAGACACGGCCCAAACUCCUACGGGAGGCAGCAGUAGGGAAUCUUCGGCAAUGGACGAAAGUCUGACCGAGCAACGCCGCGUGAGUGAAGAAGGUUUUCGGAUCGUAAAACUCUGUUGUUAGAGAAGAACAAGGAUGAGAGUAACUGUUCAUCCCUUGACGGUAUCUAACCA
rnacentral:rRNA from 1 species